rnacentral:rRNA from 1 species
CAGAAUGAACGCUGGCGGCGAUGGAUUAGGCAUGCAAGUCGAACGGGUCCCUUCGGGGACUAGUGGCGCAAGGGUCGAGUAACACGUGAGCAACCUGCCCCCGAAUCCGGAAUAAUCCAGGGAAACUUGGUCUAAAACCGGAUGUCGGCGUUUACCCGCAUGGGUUUCCGCCGAAAUAUUCAUAGUUCGGGGAUGGGCUCGCGUCCCAUUAGCUGGUUGGCGGGGUAACGGCCCACCAAGGCUACGACGGGUAGGUGGUCUGAGAGGAUGGUCACCCACACUGGGACUGAGACACUGCCCAGACUCCUACGGGAGGCUGCAGUCGAGAAUCUUCCGCAAUGGGCGCCAAGCCUGACGGAGCGAUGCCGCGUGAGGGAAGAAGGCCUUCGGGUUGUAAACCUCUGUCACCCGGGACGAAAUCAAUGACGGUACCGGGAAAGGAAGCCACGGCUAACCACGUGCCAGCAGCGGC